rnacentral:misc_RNA from 1 species
GAUGAAGAACGUAGCGAAAUGCGAUACGUAAUGUGAAUUGCAAAUUCAGUGAAUCAUCGAAUCUUUGAACGCACAUUGCGCCCGCCAGCAUUCUGGCGGGCAUGCCUGUUCGAGCGUCAUUUCAACCCUCGAGCCCCCCCGGGGGCCUCGGUGUUGGGGGACGGCACACCAGCCGCCCCCGAAAUGCAGUGGCGACCCCGCCGCAGCCUCCCCUGCGUAGUAGCACACACCUCGCACCGGAGCGCGGAGGCGGUCACGCCGUAAAACGCCCAACUUUCUUAGAGUUGACCUCGGAUCAGGUAGGAAUACCCGCUGAACUUAAGCAUAUCAAUAAGCGGAGGA